GGAAGGAAAAGAACAAAAAGACAAUCAGGAAUGAGUAGUAAGAAUAAUAGGCUGCCAUGCUGAUCAUAGGACUGAGGAGAACACAGGACGUGAAGGGUAUCACACAUGCCUUCGUCCCCCACCCCAGCCUACACCACUGCCAGCCUUGCCCCUGCUCUGUCCCCCUCGGCAGGAUGCCAAGAGACAGAGGGUGGCAAAAAUCCAAUGCGUUAUUCUUUUCCGACCCCCUCCCCACUCUCACCAGAUGCCUCCGAAAAUCAGCUGGACGGUGGGAGGGAUCAAGAAUGACUGCCGUCACCAUGGAAACUCCUUGAUGGUGAGAUUGCUUUGAGAACCAGGAGGGGAUGAGAUAAGCACCAGAGGAACACUGGGCAGUCAGGGCCCAGCAUCCACCAACCCUUUCUUCCAGAUAACUCCUUUGUUCUCUGGGCUGGUCUCCCUUUUGCUCCUAUAGGGGCCCUUUCUGACUCUUCACCUGUUUUGAUUCUUCAGUGGUGCCCUUCCCGGGUCUGGGAGGGAAGGGCCCGAGGCCCACUCAGGGCUGCCCCAGGAUGGCCACUUCUCACUGCAGCCCAGACACCCUGGUCUAUAAGACACACUAUCCUUGCCACUGAGAAGGAAGGGACGUCAACACUUUUGAGCCAAGCCCUGUGUCCCCUGCAUCCAGCAAGGAAGAAGAAAAAUAAAGACCUGACUAUUUUUCACAGGUGCAACGGGUGACUAAAGACCGAAAGAGAGUGGGGUGGUUUUCACUUCAUCUUGUUGAGAAGCCAGGGCCUGAAGUCCAGAGAUCCCCAUUCACAUGCACCCUCUUCGGUGGGAAGGGGAGGAACUCUUACCUCCCUCUCUGCCAUGUUCUCCUCUCGUUGCCCAUUUGUGUACUAUCCUCUCCGUCCCCUACCUGACUGCAUGUGCCUUGAAUGCAAAGGUCUUACUGCUCAUCAGCUUUACAUCUGCAUCACAGUCACAAUUCCUGCACCUUACAGGCCUGGAUCAAAUUCUUGUGAAUGAGCAAAAGCAUCUCUAAAGGUCACCAGUGCCCUGCUUGUCUCAAUCCUAGCUGGACACUAGGCUAUAAUGCUCC
rnacentral:lncRNA from 1 species